AUGGUUGUCUUCCCAGUUGUUGGAUAUCUCUUACUAUCUUUUGUCUCUUAUUUUAAUUCGACAUUUUUCGGUAUUGUCAAAGUGGCAUUGCUUCAGGUACUUCAAAAAGCUACUGCUUCUAUUAGCACUGAAGAAUGUGAACAUGAAAAUUUUCAACUUAAUGGCCAGCAGCCAAACAAAGAAGUUCAAACUGCAGAUGGAUUUGAUCAGAAUGACCAAGUUUGCAUGUUAUGUGAAGAGUUUGCUGUUGAGGCAGUUAAUUACUUUGCUAACAACAAAACUCAAACAGAAAUCCUCGAGAUCCUUUAUAGACAUGCUCUAAGAUGCAUACUUUCAAGCAGCAGUGCACCUCAUUGGUGGAUUAUUAUGCUCCUCUCUUCUUCUUAGAGAUUUCAUCAGUACAACCCAAGGAUUUCUGCCAAAAGGUUGAUCUUUGUGAAGACAUUUUUCAAUCUCACAGUCUCUCUCUAAGAAUAGCUGUGAAUUAUGCCAUACUGUUGUGUCAGAGGCCAUAACAAAUUGAAAGAUCCAGACACUCAGUUAGAAAUAGUUGAGGCGCUUCUGAAGGCAUGCGAUGCCGUACAGGGUCAUGUGAACAAGUGCAAGAGAAUGGUCUUUGAAUAUGUUCCUGUGAUCCUUGUAAACGCUGAGCAGUUUCUGGAAACAAAGGACAUAUGCACCAUGCUACAUGCUUGUGAAUCGGCUGCUCCGACAGCGCAAGUAUUGUCGUCCACCUCCGAAACAUCCCUGCGUGCGCAUCGUAAAGGCGAAUGAAUGGUUGGACUCUGUUGUAAACUUAUAUGGACUCUGUUGUAAAUCGUGCAAACUGUAAAAGAUUCUCUCAUGUAUAAUGCAAAAAGAAAACCGAGGAAAUGCAUCAAACAGCUGCUUACCUUUACCUUUAUGUAAAGCAUUUUCUCGGGUGACAAUUUCAUUUUUUCAUUGGAUAUUAUUGACGACGCAGGAUUUAUUUAUAUUUAAAUCUAACGCGUUAGCACCUCUUCGGAUGGCGGCCAA